AAGACUUUAAGUUAAAGUAAACUAGUAUCCUUCAAAGUUAUCAAUAAAGUAUAACUCUUUAAGUCUUA
rnacentral:tRNA from 1 species